rnacentral:rRNA from 1 species
AGAGGAAGUAAAAGUCGUAACAAGGUCUCCGUAGGUGAACCUGCGGAGGGAUCAUUACAGAGUUCAUGCCCUACACGGGUAGAUCUCCCACCCUUUGUUAUCAUUACCUUCGUUGCUUUGGCGGGCCGUCAGGCCUCGGUCAGGCUACCGGCUCUAGCUGGUAAGCGCCCGCCAGAGGACCCCAAACUCUGAAUAUUAGUGUCGUCUGAGUACUAUAUAAUAGUUAAAACUUUCAACAACGGAUCUCUUGGUUCUGGCAUCGAUGAAGAACGCAGCGAAAUGCGAUAAGUAAUGUGAAUUGCAGAAUUUAGUGAAUCAUCGAAUCUUUGAACGCACAUUGCGCCCCUUGGUAUUCCGAGGGGCAUGCCUGUUCGAGCGUCAUUACAACCCUCAAGCAAUGCUUGGUAUUGGGCUCCGCUGCUCACCCAGCCAGCCUUAAAAUCAGUGGCGGUGCCGUUGGGCCCUGAGCGUAGUAAACAUCCUCGCUAUAGGGACCCGGUGGACACUAGCCAUCAACCCCCAUUUUCCAAGUUUGACCUCGGAUCAGGUAGGGAUACCCGCUGAACUUAAGCAUAUCAA